ACGGGUGAGUAACACGUGAACAAUCUGCCCUCGAAUUUGGGAUAACGGUUCCAACGAGCCGCUAAUACCGGAUAGGUUAAUCUGAUCACCUGGUUGGAUUAAGAAAGUUGCAAUUGCAACGUUCGAGGAUGAGUUCGCGGCCCAUUAGCUAGUUGGCGGGGUAAUGGCCCACCAAGGCGACGAUGGGUAGCCGGCCUGAGAGGGUGAUCGGCCACAUUGGGACUGAGAUACGGCCCAGACUCCUACGGGAGGCAGCAGUAGGGAAUUUUGCGCAAUGGACGAAAGUCUGACGCAGCAACACCGUGUGAGGGAUGAAGCAUUUCGGUGUGUAAACCUCUGUCGAUGGUGAAUAAAGCAUGUGGGAGUGGAAAGCCCAUGUGUUGAAGGUAGCCAUGAAGGAAGCACCGGCUAACUCUGUGCCAGCAGCCGCGGUAAUACAGGGGGUGCAAGCGUUGUUCGGAAUCACUGGGCGUAAAGGGAGCGUAGGCGGAACUGCAAGACAGGGGUCAAAUCUCCGGGCUCAACCUGGAACUUGCCUUUGUGACUGCAGUUCUUGAGUAUGGUAGAGGUCAGCGGAAUUUCCGGUGUAGCGGUGG
rnacentral:rRNA from 1 species